rnacentral:rRNA from 1 species
CCUACGGGGGGCAGCAGUGAGGAAUAUUGGUCAAUGGACGAGAGUCUGAACCAGCCAAGUAGCGUGAAGGAUGACUGCCCUAUGGGUUGUAAACUUCUUUUAUAUGGGAAUAAAAUGUUCCACGUGUGGGAUUUUGUAUGUACCAUAUGAAUAAGGAUCGGCUAACUCCGUGCCAGCAGCCGCGGUAAUACGGAGGAUCCGAGCGUUAUCCGGAUUUAUUGGGUUUAAAGGGAGCGUAGGUGGAUUGUUAAGUCAGUUGUGAAAGUUUGCGGCCCAACCGUAAAAUUGCAGUUGAAACUGGCAGUCUUGAGUACAGUAGAGGUGGGCGGAAUUCGUGGUGUAGCGGUGAAAUGCUUAGAUAUCACGAAGAACUCCGAUUGCGAAGGCAGUUCACUGGACUGCAACUGACACUGAGGCUCGAAAGUGUGGGUAUCAAACAGGAUUAGAUACCCUUGUAGUC